GAUGAACGCUGGCGGCGUGCCUAAUACAUGCAAGUCGAGCGAACGGACGAGAAGCUUGCUUCUCUGAUGUUAGCGGCGGACGGGUGAGUAACACGUGGAUAACCUACCUAUAAGACUGGGAUAACUUCGGGAAACCGGAGCUAAUACCGGAUAAUAUUUUGAACAGCAUGGUUCAAAAGUGAAAGACGGUCUUGCUGUCACUUAUAGAUGGAUCCGCGCUGCAUUAGCUAGUUGGUAAGGUAACGGCUUACCAAGGCAACGAUGCAUAGCCGACCUGAGAGGGUGCUCGCCCACACUGGAACUGAGACACGCUCCAGACUCCUACGGGAGGCAGCAGUAGGGAAUCUUCCGCAAUGGGCGAAAGCCUGACGGAGCAACGCCGCGUGAGUGAUGAAGGUCUUCGGAUCGUAAAACUCUGUUAUUAGGGAAGAACAUAUGUGUAAGUAACUGUGCACAUCUUGACGGUACCUAAUCAGAGAGCCACGGCUAACUACGUG
rnacentral:rRNA from 1 species